GGGAUAUUGCACACUGGGGGAAACCCUCAUGCAGCAACGCCGCGUGUGGGAAGAAGGCUUUCGGAUUGUAAACCACUGUUCUUGGUGAAGAUAAUGACGGUAACCAAGGAGAAUGCUCCGGCUAACUACGUGCCAGCAGCCGCGGUAAUACGUAGGGAGCAAGCGUUGUCCGGAUUUACUGGGUGUAAAGGGUGCGUAGGCGGUCUUGCAAGUCAGACGUGAAAACCACAGGCUCAACCUGUGGACUGCGUUUGAAACUGUGGGGCUUGAGUGAAGUAGAGGUAGGCGGAAUUCCCGGUGUAGCGGUGAAAUGCGUAGAGAUCGGGAGGAACACCAGUGGCGAAGGCGGCCUACUGGGCUUUAACUGACGCUGAGGCACGAAAGCAUGGGUAGCAAACAG
rnacentral:rRNA from 1 species